rnacentral:tRNA from 2 species
GCCGAAUUAGCUCAGUCGGUAGAGCAUCUCAUUCGUAAUGAGGGGGUCACAGGUUCGAUUCCUGCAUUCGGCA